UAUGUCUCUCUCUCACUCUCAACUGUCAUUCUCUUCUUCAUCACUUCAGUUAAUCAAACCCUACUUAAUAAUAUUCUGAGAACGAGGUUCAGACUCAGAUCUGAGCAACCUCACCAGCCAGUCAUGGGGGAGAAGAAAGUUGCGAGAAUGAGGUUGAAGGUUGACCUUCAGUGUGAGAAGUGCUACAGGAAAGUG